UACGGAGGGUGCAAGCGUUUAUCCGGAAUCACUGGGUUUAAAGGGUGCGUAGGCGGUGAGAUAAGUCAGUCGUGAAAUCUCUUGGCUUAACCAAUGAAAUUGCGAUUGAUACUGUUUUACUUGAAAGAGGUUGAGGUCAGCGGAAUGUGGCAUGUAGCGGUGAAAUGCUUAGAUAUGACAUAGAACACCAAUUGCGAAGGCAGCUUACUACACAGUUAUUGACGCUGAGGCACGAAAGCGUGGGGAUCAAACAGG
rnacentral:rRNA from 1 species